UCAAUCCUUAUUACAUGGUAAUGUUAGACUCCUACAAGACCCACACAUAAAGCUGGUAAAGGGAUUUCAAGACGCAUCGAGUCGGUUGCAUCUCAAAAAGAGGUUCCCGGUCGAAUGUUGAAAAAAGCUGGUAAGGAUAUUCCAACGAAGUCCGGGACAAAAACAAAUCAUAAAUCUCAAAAAGAGGUUCCCGGUCAAAUGUUGGACAAAGCUAGUAAGGAAAUUCCAACGACGUCCGGGACAAAAUCUCAAAUUAUGAUGCGUCUUGAGAAAAUGGUGGAAGAGUCAGAUAUUAUGCACGGCGCCAUCCGUAGUGUAGAUAUGGAUGAAGGUGUUUUCGGAAUUGCUCAUUCCGAAUUAAUUGCAAAGGAGGACAUGCAACAACUUUUUGAACACGAAGAAUUGGGCAUCGCUGUCAUUCAUACAUACAUAUGGUACUCCGAUCAAUCUAUUAUUUACUUAGUUGAACAAUUUAUUUACACAUUUCAAUGAGUAGUCUAAUGUUUAUUAUGUUUCUAUUUAAGGUAUAUGUAUGACACAUUGA